AACGAACGCUGGCGGCAUGCCUAACACAUGCAAGUCGAACGAGACCUUCGGGUCUAGUGGCGCACGGGUGCGUAACGCGUGGGAACCUGCCCUUAGGUUCGGAAUAACUCCCCGAAAGGGGUGCUAAUACCGGAUAAUGUCUUCGGACCAAAGAUUUAUCGCUUUUGGAUGGGCCCGCGUGGGAUUAGCUAGUUGGUAGGGUAAAAGCCUACCAAGGCGACGAUCCAUAGCUGGUCUGAGAGGAUGGUCAGCCACACUGGGACUGGGACACGGCCCAGACUCCUACGGGAGGCAGCAGUGGGGAAUAUUGGACAAUGGGCGAAAGGCUGAACGAGCAAUGCCGCGUGAGUGAUGAAGGCCUUAGGGUUGUAAAGCUCUUUUACACGGGAGGAUAAUGACAGUACCGGGAGAAUAAGCGCCGGCUAACUCCGUG
rnacentral:rRNA from 1 species